rnacentral:lncRNA from 1 species
AUGCAAACUAUAAGGCCUAGUCACAUUUCAUAGUUGAAGCAACAAUAAGGAAAAUAGAAGCUAAAGGCUUGAAGCAUGCAAAAUUUCAAAGAAGCAUACACUUGUUGAAUCCAAAAAGGGAGAAUUUAAGGGGGAGGCGGGUGGAACCAACCAACCUUAGGGAGAGCUUUUUAUGUGUAUAGUUUUACUAGUUUUGUGAAUACUGCUCUAGUUGUUGCCCAAGAGGUUAUCAUCUUUACAAUUUAUUUGCAACUCUGAUGCAAACUAUAAGGCCUAGUCAUAUUUCAUAGUUGAAGCAACAAUAAGGAAAAUAGAAGUUAAAGGCUUUAAGCAUGCAAAAUUUCAAAGAAGCAUGCACUUGUUGAAUCCAAAAAGGGAGAAUUUAAGGGGGAGGUGGGUGGAACCAACCAACCUUAGGGGGAGCUUUUUAUGUGUAUAGUUUUACUAGUUUUGUGAAUACUGCAAGUAAUUUUUAUGUAAUUUCC